AUUUAAGUAGCUUAAUUAAAAGUUUAAUAUUGAAGAUAUUAAGAUUGAGUUUUAUAACUCCUUAAAUG
rnacentral:tRNA from 1 species